rnacentral:rRNA from 1 species
AGUGAACGCUGGCGGUAGGCCUAACACAUGCAAGUCGAACGGCAGCACAGUAAGAGCUUGCUCUUACGGGUGGCGAGUGGCGGACGGGUGGGGAAUACAUCGGAAUCUACUUUUUCGUGGGGGAUAACGUGGGGAAACUACCGCUAUUACCCCAUAGAACCAAGGGGGGAAGGCAGGGAAUCUUCGGCCUUUGCCCGAUGUAAUGACCCGAUGUCGGAUUAGCUAGUUGGCGGGGUAAAGGCCCACCAAGGCGACGAUCCGUAGCUGGUCUGAGAGGAUGAUCAGCCACACUGGAACUGAGACACGGUCCAGACUCCUACGGGAGGCAGCAGUGGGGAAUAUUGGACAAUGGGCGCAAGCCUGAUCCAGCCAUACCGCGUGGGUGAAGAAGGCCUUCGGGUUGUAAAGCCCUUUUGUUGGGAAAGAAAAGCAGCAGGUUAAUACCCCGCUGUUCUGACGGUACCCAAAGAAUAAGCACCGGCUAACUUCGUG